GGGAGGAGAGAUGGGGGGGAAGGCGGCGCGCCCUGGGCGACUGUUUCUCCGCUUGAAUGGCGCGCGCGGAUUGCAAAAAGUCAGCAGAGGAGUUCUAGAGGGGGAAAAAGAAGGCAACUUUGGAAGUUACGCACAACUUGCAGAAUUAUUCGUAUGUUUAUGCAGAGGUAAUCCUGUGGUUCUUCAGAAGUUGGUGGACUACAACUCCCAUCAGCCCCACUCAGCACAGCCCGUGGUCAAGGAUGGUAGGAAUCAUAGACUAGCACAUCUGAAAGGUCACAGGUUCUUCCUGCUUGCUGUUGGAGAUGGGAAUAUACUGGGCUUGUAUUUUCACCUUGUUAUUUGGCAACCCUAGAGUACAGUCCAGACACAUUUCCAUUUGCAGUGACACACCAUAGCUUUAUUGGGACUCAAGUAUGUCUGGAAUCCUCACUGUCUGGUUUGGAACAUUCAGGAAAACAAGGGGAGGCUGGUUGAGAGAACCGUAGUCUUCACAUGCUUAGAAGCCCAGCCUUAUUUGCGCGUGCUAGGACUGGAAUUCAAAACCUCAGGAUUGUGUGACUCUGCACUGCCCCCACUUAAGCCCUGCACUUUCCCCAAAUCUGACUGUAGAUCCUAACCCUGCUUGAUCUGUAAGUAAGCUCCAUUGAAUUUAGUGGACCUCUGAGCACUCACGGUUAUGAUGUUCCCAUAGUUUCAAUUACCCCAUCUCGUUUUCCUUGGCUUGAAACAUAAGAUUUGGCUUUAGAUUACAUAUGUUUGCUAAAGCAGCUAGUGGGACAUGGAUGUGUUUAUUGAAAUGGAAGGGCAGCCUGAUGCCACCUUUGAUUGCAAAUGGCUGUCUGUUGCAGCCAGGCUUCUAAUGUAAUGUGCUAGUUCAGCAAAGAUUACCAGUGUCGAAGCAAUGAUUCUUCAACAUCAACUUUAUUGGGCAGGUCAUGCUGUUUAGAUGCCUGAUUAUUAUCUUCCAAAGGUGCUCUUAAGGCAAAUCUUUAAAAAUGUAGUAUAAAUACCGACAACUGGGAAACAUUGGCCUGCAAGCGCUCCAAUUGGA